AUCUCCUUUGUUUCCUCGCUGAUGAAGGUUGUAAAGCCUCCAAGACAAAACUCCAGUGGUGCCGGCCCUCUGUGGUCUUCUUGGGACUUCUCCAUGGGCCUUUCCCAUGGCACCCGCCACCUAACGAGAAACAGGGUACUUGCCAUUACAAAUCUCUCCCUUCCGUCUAACCAUCAGGCCCUUCAUGCUUUCUUGGGCCUCAUCAC